rnacentral:misc_RNA from 1 species
UUAUGCCAUUCUGAUUUGGUGCAUUGCUGUGCAUCGUGUCAGAGACAUGGGCCUUCACCGCUGAUCGCCCCGAAUGCAGCGUGCGCGUGUCGUGAUAGUCGCGUUGGUGAUUGAUCGACGGGUUGCACUUUUGCUUUUUGC